rnacentral:rRNA from 1 species
CCUACGGGUGGCUGCAGUGGGGAAUAUUGGACAAUGGGGGGAACCCUGAUCCAGCCAUGCCGCGUGUGUGAAGAAGGCCUUUUGGUUGUAAAGCACUUUAAGCGAGGAGGAGGCUACUUAGAUUAAUACUCUAAGAUAGUGGACGUUACUCGCAGAAUAAGCACCGGCUAACUCUGUGCCAGCAGCCGCGGUAAUACAGAGGGUGCAAGCGUUAAUCGGAUUUACUGGGCGUAAAGGGUACGUAGGUGGUCUUUUAAGUCGGAUGUGAAAUCCCUGAGCUUAACUUAGGAAUUGCAUUCGAUACUGAAAGACUAGAGUAUGGGAGAGGAUGGUAGAAUUCCAGGUGUAGCGGUGAAAUGCGUAGAGAUCUGGAGGAAUACCGAUGGCGAAGGCAGCCAUCUGGCCUAAUACUGACACUGAGGUACGAAAGCAUGGGGA